GAGGAGCAAAACUGAGUGAGAGAGGGAGGGAAAGUGGAUGUCCGUAAAUAUCACAGAAAGAGGGAGAAUUAAUGAGUGGGGAGGGAUAAAGAAGUGAUCUGGGCUUAGCAGCUCAGACAAGGCUGAAAUGAAGACACCCAAACUGGGGAUCGCUGUGCUCUUGCGGUGAAGUCACACUCUUGGAAGGCUGAAUUUGGCAAGGGAAGCUUUUCUUCCUGUCCCAGGUGAGCCAGACAUUUGACAUCACCAUAAACGCCGUGGAUGACUCCUUGCCCAUCGUGCAAAUCUUUGGGAUGACAGUUCAGGAAGGGGUGAGAAAAACCAUCACGGAGUUUGAGCUCAAAGCGACAGAUGCUGACACAGAGGUGGAGUCCCUGACGUUCGGGGCGGUGCAGCCGCCCCGGCACGGGCUGAUGGAGCGCAGCGGCCGCGGGCAGCGUCCUCUGCAGGCCACCACCUUCACCAGGGAUGACAUCACAUCUACCAGAAGCGCGGCAGCUGCAGGCACGGCGGCGGCAGCGCGCUCAGGGACCGCUUCACCCUCACCGUCUCCGACGGCACCAGCCCCCUCUUCGUGGUGCAGGAGGGAGGGAAGAAGGUGGUGACGGCAGCACCGCAGCGCUUCCAGGUGGACAUCCUCCCUGUGGAUGACGGGACACCCAGGGUGGUCACCAACCUGGGCCUGCAGUGGCUGGAGUACACGGAUGGCAAGGCCACCAAUCUCAUCACUAAGAAGGAAUUACUGACGACAGAUCCUGACACAGAUGACAAACAGCUGAUCUAUGAGAUAACAGCCGGUCCCAGAAAUGGCCACGUGGAGAACAAGCUGAAGCCGGGCACAGCUGUGACCACCUUUACACAGGGUAUGGAGCUGGGCUGUGUCCUGCUGCUUUUUUCCAUCACUUGAUUCAAUUUGUUAAAAUAAGGGAAAAAUAGGUGUGAGGGGAGAAGACAAGGGGCAGAUCUCCAAAGUGUGUGGCUG